CCUAAUCUAGGCUGCCUGUCAUGGCCUUACCCGUGACAGCCUCAUAGUAAUAGGUUCUGCUGAUACAGCAGAAAAUCUUGAAAGUUGAUCAAGAAGCAGAUGAUGAAGGAACAUGUUAAGGAAUUUCACACUUAUCGUCCGGAGAAAAUGAUGAGUAUGCGCAGUGUCCUGGGUAUUCUGACAAGUUCCAGAUCGCUGGGCCCCCAGAGGCUAAACUGAGAUAAUAGUCUCCUUUAUAUGCAUAUGACUUAUCUACCACCUUUUGAUAUGCAGAUGUCUCAGCUCCGAUCAAGACGAAGUAACCUUGGUACUGAAGGAUGAAGGUCGAGUUUCCUUUCAUAAGAAAAUGUGAAACAAAGACUUUUUCACAGAAGUCAAAGAAGAGAAUUCAUUACCAGCGCCUGAACUACAAGAAAUAACAAAGUUUAUCAAAUAGAAGAAAUAUACCUGAAAGAAAUUUGUAUAGGCACGCAAAACAAAGAUGACAGACUAUAAACACGCUUAAAGUGAAGGCAAAUGUAAAAGACUUCAAAAUUAUUUUUAAUCAAUUUAAAAAAUAAUCAUCUAAUGGAAAAAUAAUAAGUCAUUAUGAGUAUGUAUACUAUAUAACGAUAAAACCCUUGACGGCAAUGGCACAGGAGACAGGAAGAAGCAAUAAUUUGGUAAGUGCAGCAUUAUCAGAGAAUUCAAUAUAAAACUACAUUUUUUUCUUCUUGUUCAUAUACUUUCAGAAAUAUUUUCCUGAUAGAAUGCAUAAAUUAUAACUUUUUAUGACAAAUCUGUGAAAUUGUUUUGCUGUAAAUAUCUCUUUCUGGAUUGACUUUGUUGUGCUGGAUCUGGCUUAAGUUUUUAUUCUAGGAAGCUUUUCACAGUAACUCUUCCAGGUGAGGGAACCUCUGCCUGCCCUGAAAAGUGAGGCUAGGUUGCUUUGGCAACCAAAGGAGGCUCAAUGAAUGCUGUGCUUCUUGCAUUUGGAGUCUCCAAAUCUUC